AGUGAACGCUGGCGGUAGGCCUAACACAUGCAAGUCGAACGGCAGCACAGUAAGAGCUUGCUCUUACGGGUGGCGAGUGGCGGACGGGUGAGGAAUACAUCGGAAUCUACUUUUUCGUGGGGGAUAACGUAGGGAAACUUACGCUAAUACCGCAUACGACCUACGGGUGAAAGCAGGGGAUCUUCGGACCUUGCGCGAUUGAAUGAGCCGAUGUCGGAUUAGCUAGUUGGCGGGGUAAAGGCCCACCAAGGCGACGAUCCGUAGCUGGUCUGAGAGGAUGAUCAGACACACUGGAACUGAGACACGGCCCAGACUCCUACGGGAGGCAGCAGUGGGGAAUAUUGGACAAUGGGCGCAAGCCUGAUCCAGCCAUACCGCGUGGGUGAAGAAGGCCUUCGGGUUGUAAAGCCCUUUUGUUGGGAAAGAAAAGCAGCAGGUUAAUACCCCGCUGUUCUGACGGUACCCAAAGAAUAAGCACCGGCUAACUUCGUG
rnacentral:rRNA from 1 species